UUAGAAGCCUCUGCCUUUGAUGAAGCAACCCUUUUCUUUCCAUUCUGAAAGGCUGCAUUGAGGUCGCACAGCCUCAAUCUGAAGAGAAGGUGGGCCCAAUUCUUUGGAGGAUGCUAUUUGUACAGAAACUUACUGAUAUGCUGCUCAUCAUAGUUGUGGCCCUGACAGUUGUGUGAAGGUCCUCUUGCCUGCUUGUGAGUGCUCCCAAUCUCACAAUGUGGCCUCUGCUUCCUUGGUUCCUCAUCCCUCACUACAGAUUUCCUAUUCACGAGACCAUCUGCUAAAAAUUAAGCAACAUUUCUUUAAGGAGCAGCUUUCUGUGAUCCCCCCCCUUUACAAACGCGGAGGAGAUUCUAACACAGGAGGAGGCAAUUCCCACGGAGCCAUGGAUUACCAAAAAAACCAAACAACGAAAGCGGCAAAAGAGAGGUAAAUGGGCUGGGAUCUUAAACAGAUUAAGAAAUCGCGAUAAAACUCUUUUGCCUUCAAUUUUCCUAACAAAUGUACGUUCACUUGCAAAUAAGAUGGAUGAAAUACUCCUCUUAAACAAAUACUAUUCUGAUUUUUGCAAUUCAGCAGUCCUAUGCUUCUUUGAAAACUGGUUAAAUGAAUCAAUUGAAGAUAGCAGCCUGAACAUUCCAGGGUUUCAGAUUGAAUGAUCAGACAGAAUUACAGAAACAUCUGGUAAAAAGAAAGGAGGAGGCUUAUGUCUAUAUAUUAACAGCAACUGGUGUCAAGAUUUAAAAGUAAUUUACAAAUUCUAUGACAACAAUUUAGAGAUUUUAAUUAUAAACUGCAAACCAUACUAUUCGCCUCAUGAAUUUUCCUCAUUUCUUCUAAUUGCUGUUUAUGUCCCACCACAAGCCUGUGUAAACAAGGCAUUACGAACUCUAGCUGACCAAAUCAUGGAGGCUGAACCAAACACCCUGAUUCACUGGCCAUUAUUUUGGGAGAUCUAAACAAGGCAAACUUAAGGAAAGAGCUACCAAAAUACUUUCAGCAUGUCAAUUGUCCCACCAGAGGCAAGAAUACUCUAGACCAUUGCUACACAACACUAAAAGAUGCUUAUCGGUCUUUACCACGAGCAGCUGUAGGACACUCUGAUCAUUGCAUGAUUCACCUUGUACCUGCUUAAAGGGAAAGACUUAAAACCAAAAAACCAACAAUUAAAUCAGUGAAGACCUGGACGGAGGAGGCAAAAUUAAAGCUACAGGUAUGCUUUGACUGCACUGAUUGGAAUAUUUUUGAAGAUACCUCUGCAGACCUGGAUGAACUCACAGAUACUGUAACAUCAUAUGUCAGCUUCUAUGAAGACCUAUGUGUACCUACAAGGAACUUGCGAAUAUACAGUAACAACAAACCUUGAUUCACACCUAAACUUAAGCAGCUACGUCAUUCCAAAGAGGAAGCCUAUAGGAAAGGUGAUAAAAUGCUGUACAAUCAGGCCAGAAAUGCACUAACAAGGGAGAUCAGAGCAGCAAAAAGAAGCUUCUCUGAAAACCUAAAGAAUCAGUUUUCAGCAAAUGAACCAGCAAACAUGUGGAAAACUCUUAAAAAUAUCAUAAGCUAUGGCAAACCUCCUUCCCAGGCUGAAGGUAAUCAACAACUGGCGGAUGACCUGAAUGAGUUUUACUGCAGGUUUGAAAGGAAACUACAGCCACCUAUCUCCACAACCCCCAUCUCAGACACACCAACAACAGCCAAGCCUCCUACAAUUGACCCCAUCCCAUUGGGUUCACAACCCCUAGUGAUCACAGAGAAGGAAGUGCAGGACCUAUUUCACAGACAAAAGCCAGGAAAAGCUCCAGGCCCAGACAAGAUAACUCCUUCUUGCUUAAAAGUCUGUGCUGACCAAUUGGCCCCAUCUUCAUCCAUAUCUUCAAUAAAUCAUUAGAGAUGUGCUAUGUUCCUUCUUGCUUCAAACGCUCUGCUAUCAUCCCAGUGCCAAAGAAGCCCAUCAUCAAGGAACUGAAUGACUACAGAUGAGUUGCUCUAACAUCUGUAGUCAUGAAAACCUCUGAAAGGCUAGUUCUGUCCCACUUGAAAACCAUCACGGAUCUGCUGUUAGACCUCUUGCAAUUUGCAUACUGAGCAAAUAGAUCAACAGAUGAUGCUGUUAAUAUGGCUACUAUAUAUAUAUACUAUAUAGAUACUAUAGAGCACUGCACACCAGAACAACUAGACACAAGAACAGUUUUUUCCUGAAGGCCAUCACUCUGCUAAACAAAUAAUUCCCCCAACACUGACAAACUAUUUACUAAAUCUGCACUACUAUUAAUCUUCUCAUCGUUCCCAUCACCCAUCUCUUUCCACUUAUGACUGUAUGACUGUAACUUUGUUGCUGGUAAUCCUUAUGAUUUAUGUUGAUAUUGAUUGUUCCUGAUUGCUUAUUUGUACCCUGUGCUUAUCAUUAAGUGUUGUAUCAUUAAGUGUUAAAUUGUACCCUAUGACCAUCAUUUAUGUUGUAAAUGUUGUACCUUGAUGAAGGUAUCUUUUCUUUUAUGGACACUGAGAGCAUAUGCACCAAGACAAAUUCCUUGUGUGUCCAAUCACACUUGGCCAAUAAAAAAAUUCUAUUCUAUUCUAUUCUAUUCUAUUCUAUUCUAUUCUAUUCUAUUCUAUUCUAUUCUAUUCUAUUCUAUUCUAUUCAGUAUGAUGAAUAGCACUUCAGCUUAAAGGUGUGAAAAGGCCUUCUCUCAUGAACUAACGGUACUGCCUUGAUUUAAGAGAGUUUACAUUAUAUUUGGUUGUUUUUGUUGGAGGAGGGGCAUUUUUGAGCUCCUUUUGGAGGAAGAAAAUUUUUAAAAAUGCUGUUAUUUGUAUAAUAAUGAACAACAAUGAUAAUAAGCUUAGGAACUUAAACCUUGAAGUUUUAACAACCUGUAGGCUUUGAGACAUUUUGCAUCAACAUGUAUAGCAGAGUGCUUUGUAUAAUUUUUUUCCUUAAAGAAGUAUUAAUCUAUAUUUAGACUGCACAGGGUACCUGAAAAGAAUAGUAUCAGGAAGAAAGGAAUGAGAAAGAAAAACAACAGUAAAGGCUACUGUGCGUACCUAAGGUUGUUUCAGGUGAAGGUGGCAUUGGUGCAAAGCUUAUGAUUUUGGAGACAGACGGGAAAGAAACCACAGAACUUCUGUUACAUUAGAGAACAUUUCAAAUAUAGAACAGGUAGUUAUUUAAGAGAGAGCGAUGUUGAUAAAGCAAGAGGAGAAGUGACUGGUGGAAAAGACAAGAAUACGGGCAACUGAUAUUCUGUCUUCGGAUUUGCAAUAAACCACCCACAAUGAGUCAAGAGCAGUUGACAUGUUUUGUCAGAAGGCUUGGCAUCACUCAUGAACACUGACAUUUUUCCAUGUCCUGAUGGCAGUAAUCCUGCACUGCAUGCAGUUGCCUUAACUUGUUUCCUAUCGAAUACUAACGGCUUUAUGUGAAUUUUUGUUCUCCACUCAGUGAGCAAAAUGGCUCACUGAGGAAAGGAGCAAAACCUUUUCAGGUUUCUUUAUUCCUUCUUUAUGAACUUGACCCAUUUGUCUCUGGGUUAAGGACCAGGAAUGUAUAUAGAUAAGGCAAUCAAAAUGCUAUAAUGUCUUUCUUAAAUAUAUGCUUUGUACAAAUCAAGAAGGGCUGGUUCCCCGCCCCACCUCAAAAGGGUAAUAGUGCUUCCA